UCUGAACGCGUCUUCAUCAAAUGCUUCCAAAAUUUGAGGCCAUUUCUUGAGCAAUACAGAUUCGAACUUCGUGACAGCAUUGCGUGAGGGCGCAUCCGAUAGAGGCCGCUUGUCGCGGAUAGCGCAUAUCAAGGCUAACACGGAUUUGAGCGUGCUGCUGUCAGCUUCUUCUCCUUCAGGCAAGGUAAGCUUAGAAAGUAAAGACGCCAGGGCCUUUCGAGAGUCAUCUGCAUUGCGUUUUCGUCAUCAGUGUUCAAUAACUAGCAUACCAGGGCACAUACGUGAGGUCUCGAUCAAUAUUAAUUUGAGCACUUCAACCGAUAGAUCGAGGUGUACUGAAGUAUCAAUGGUUGAUCCUUCUCGCCCGCUGCGAACAUGUCAGUCUUCGCGAGCCUCGUCAAUAGAAGCCAAUACCCACAUUGCCUUAAAUGGGUCGAUCCAAUCUACCAUCAUCAAUCCUAUUUGAGACAAGGGUAGCAUCUCGUCAUCCUCGGCCUCUUCCGACAUUUGUGAGAGCAUCAUAUAUGUGUCGUAGAAAAUCUUUGGAUGGAUCAGUUGGUACCGUAAAGGAAUCACUGAUCACACUCACGGAAAGCAUGCGACGCUGAUUAUCGGCUGCGGUAUAACAAUAUACCGGCAAAAAGUAAGUCAGACAUUGUCGCAAAGGCUGGUUAUCAGCAGUUUCAGGUGAAAAAUAGAGCAACACGAGGGACUGCAGUACCUAUUGACACGUUGAACAAAAGCGAUUUCAAAAAGAUACAAAGGCUACUCACAACUUCGUCAGAGAUCAUACCAGCCAACAUGAGCUUCGCAACUCCCUCGCAAGCAACCGCCUGUACUUCCGCAAUGUCUAAGCUUAGAGUAUGUCGGAUUAAUUCGACAACCUUGUCAGGUUGCUUGCAUUUGAAACUAGUGUGUCGAUGUCGUGCGCCAAAAACAAGUCAAAAAUAAUUUGACAAACUUUGACUUUAAGAACGUCGUCUGCGGAAUUUAGCUGUUGAAUGAAGAGACCAAAAGAAUUGGAGGCCAUUUUCUAAUGUCACAUUAGCUUAGCUAC
rnacentral:sRNA from 1 species